AGGACGAACGCUGGCGGCGUGCUUAANACAUGCAAGUCGAACGAUGAAGCUGGAGCUUGCUCCAGUGGAUUAGUGGCGAACGGGUGAGUAACACGUGAGCAAUCUGCCCUUGACUCUGGGAUAACUGCGGGAAACUGUAGCUAAUACCGGAUACGACACCUUGGGGCAUCCCGAGGUGUGGAAAGAAUUUCGGUCAAGGAUGAGCUCGCGGCCUAUCAGCUUGUUGGUGAGGUAAAAGCUCACCAAGGCGACGACGGGUAGCCGGCCUGAGAGGGUGACCGGCCACACUGGGACUGAGAACGGCCCAGACUCCUACGGGAGGCAGCAGUAGGGAAUUUUCCACAAUGGACGAAAGUCUGAUGGAGCAACGCCGCGUGCAGGAUGAAUGCCUUAGGGUUGUAAACUGCUUUUAUAUGUGACGAAUAUGACGGUAGCAUAUGAAUAAGGAUCGGCUAACUCCGUG
rnacentral:rRNA from 1 species